CAUUGAAAUGACUAAUGGAAGAGACCUCCUGCCAGGGAACUUUCACAGCUCGCACGUGGCACUGUUGCUACCAGUCAGCAGGAACUUACCUUGGGCGUUUACAUACCAGAUGUCACCCCAAAGGCCCCUGACCAGGGGAUUUCUGGGGAUUAAUAAGAAUGCUGCUCUGAGCCUUAGAACGUGCACUGUAGGAGUGCCCAUCCUGUGUGUGGGGCAUCAUCUAGCCCCCCACUCCUCCCUGCAAGCCGAGGAAGAUGUCCAGAUGCAGGCAUAGAUUCACUGGUGGCAGGGAGCAGCCUGGUAACAAUAGCUGUGCUACCCGCCCACUACUGGAGGGGUCGGGGAGGGGGUACCUAGAUGAAGAAUCAGGGCCCCUGAGGGUCAGUAGCUGGAUGUCCAGGAAGGCAGCAAACAAACUCUUGGAGAAUUUCUGAUCUUGGGGGGUGCAUUCUGCAGCACAGGUGGGGAGCAGGUGCUCUGUGCGCUCAGAAGAGGGUGCCUAACUCAGGGGUGCAGGGAGGUCUUCCUGGAGCUCAGCAUGACCAAGCAAAGUCUUUAACAUUUUCUUAAAAUAUGUCCCCAGCACCCCAGUUAAAAAGGCAACACAGCGCCACACAGUGGUGCACACCUGUAGUCCCAGCUACUCAGGAGGCUGAGGCAGGAGGACCCUAAGUUCCAGCUCAGCCUGGGCAACGCAGCAAGAUCGUGUCUCAAGAUAAAAAGGACCGGAAUGUAGCUCAAAGGUAGAGGGCCCCUGUGUUCAAUCCCUGGUCCACCCAUGUGCGUGUGCGUGCACACACGUACGCAUAAAGGGGCAAUACAUCUCAUUGCAAAUAAUUUAAACUUUACAGCAAAUAUAUGUUCUUUUGAAGUUCAGGGAGUAAGUGGAACUAGGAAAUUGAUUAGUGGGAUUUCUCUUGUGCUCAUGAAUGUACUACUACUCCUCUGCAUUACUUCUCAAACAUAUUCGGUUAGAGAAACGUUUUAAAAUUGGCUACCCCUUAUCUCUCAGUAUUGUUACUCGAAUUCAUGGACACAAUUUGGAAAUGCUGCCCCCUGGGGAAAUACAUGUCCUACUAAAAACUAGAGGGAAUAAUGUAAUCUCAGGUUGCAAUGAUUAAAAGAUGAUUUGGAAAGUGGGUGCCAAGGAUACUUCCCUUCCACCAGGGACAACCCUUUGUCAUGUCCUUAGUGAAGUGACGCAGUGUUUUGGAUGUGAUGGGCUACUAGGCCAGGAGAGCUUUGGGCACUGCAGGGAGGGUCUCCACGCUGCCUCCCCACCCCAGUCACCUCUUUGGACCCCUCUGGCCCCUUGCCCUCCCAGUCUCUCCCUCGACCCCCUGUAGGGCUCCUCUGGGUUCCAGGAAGAGGCUUCAGUUAUCUGCCCCUGUGGCUGGACCUCAUUAGUAGCCUGCCCUGCCUACUAGGACCAGCCCCAGGACUGGUUCUCUUGGAAUUUGGAUGCAUCUACUGUAGGCCAGGUUCCUGCAACAAUUGAGCAGACCCUCUGGAGCUCCCCUGCUGAGCCCCCCACCCCCCACCUCCAGUGCAGGCCUACAUCUGCCCAGACCUACCCUGCCCCUCCCCACCCCCACCAGAAGACCACUGCCUUCAGAGAUGAGGCCCGACCUAGGGGAGGCUAGAGUUGGCUACACCUUUUUGGACAUUGAUUUGGACAGUUCAUCAGCCCCCAAAAGGGCCAGUCUCCCAGCCUGGUUAGUCCCUGACCUUCUUCCAGGACCUGCCCCUGUCCGGCCAGUGGGCUGCUGGGGCUCCCUGUACCUGCAGUCAAAGAGUGACCUUCCUUUUCUCCCAAGCUCCAGUUUCUCCCAGAGCGUCCUAGACCCACAGAUGUACAUUCAGACCACAGACCAAGCAAGACAGACAAAGCAGGCACCAACCCAGCUCCUGAAGGCCACCUAGAAGGAGCGUUUGCAUUCUUUUCAAUGAGUAUCCAGCACUGGUACCAAGGAAGAGCAGACUCCGCCCUGCAUCCUGGUCGUGCACUGUGAGGGGGUUGUCCUAACUCCCCUUCCCACGGGGAAGGCUGAGCUCAGAGAGGCCUGGCUCACACAGUGAAGAGCAGCAAAGCCGGGCCAGAACAACCAUCCAGCUUUGGUCCCUCUGUCACAUGCUGUCCCGGGGACCCAGGGCCCUCUGGACUACCAAGAUUGAUGCUCUUGGCCCCUAGAGCAGCCCAAAGCCACAGAGUGAACGUGGCUCCCGCGGAGUUCGGCCCCUGCGUCAGGCCUCUGGUUCCUCCUUUACCCUCCUCGUCCUUCAGUUCCUAACACAGAAGGUUGGGAAGCAGCUGUUCUCGGGCCUCCAGGUGCUUUUGACUUCUCUGUAACUGUCCACUGGACUCCAGCUCACCUAGCUCCACCCACGAACUUGCCCCUUGACAGUUAAGCCACAUGCGAAGUGCUCUUUAUGGCAGAAUUGUUGUGGAGAUACCUAAAGAGAGAUGUGAGGUGUACCUUUGUUCCUAAUAAACCGUUAAAGAAAAAAAAAGUUAUUUGACACCUGUUAAAAACAGCAAGAAGGACUUUGUUCAGGACCGUUGCUCGAGGCCAAGAUUAUUGCAACAGGUAAGAGGUUAAACUCAACCCGAACAUAACCGGAAUGAGCAGGAUCCCACAGCCAGUGGUCAAGGUGGGGGGGCGGAUGGAAAAUUACCAAGAGGAAAGUGCUUAGGUAUCAGGUGUGGAGGAAGAGGGCCUUGACUGGGUCUUGUGGCUGGGAAUGCUCAAAAAAUGGGCUGAGCCUGCUGGAUUCAUUGCCAAAACUGGGCUCAUCAGACCAAGGGUGAGGCCUAGUGAAGAAGAAGGUCAAAGGAGACUGACUCAAGUUGGUCAGGAAGGAAGUCUUUGCCAGCACUCAUGAAAUCUGUGAGAGUCGGGACCUGAACUCAGAAUCCAGAGCAACAGCAGGUGGUAGUGGGCCAGCCGUGGACACUGCAGGGGCUCGGG
rnacentral:lncRNA from 1 species